rnacentral:rRNA from 1 species
AUGAACGCUGGCGGCGUGCCUAAUACAUGCAAGUCGAGCGAACAGAUGAGGAGCUUGCUCCUCUGACGUUAGCGGCGGACGGGUGAGUAACACGUGGAUAACCUACUUAUAAGACUGGGAUAACUUCGGGAAACCGGAGCUAAUACCGGAUAAUAUAUUGAACCGCAUGGUUCAAUAGUGAAAGACGGUUUUGCUGUCACUUAUAGAUGGAUCCGCGCCGCAUUAGCUAGUUGGUAAGGUAACGGCUUACCAAGGCAACGAUGCGUAGCCGACCUGAGAGGGUGAUCGGCCACACUGGAACUGAGACACGGUCCAGACUCCUACGGGAGGCAGCAGUAGGGAAUCUUCCGCAAUGGGCGAAAGCUUGACGGAGCAACGCCGCGUGAGUGAUGAAGGUCUUCGGAUCGUAAAACUCUGUUAUUAGGGAAGAACAAAUGUGUAAGUAACUAUGCACGUCUUGACGGUACCUAAUCAGAAAGCCACGGCUAACUACGUG